rnacentral:rRNA from 1 species
UCGGUCCCUAUCCGUCGCAGGCGUAGGAAAUUUGAGAAGACCUGUCCUUAGUACGAGAGGACCGGGAUGGACGUACCUCUGGUGUACCAGUUGUUCUGCCAAGGGCAUGGCUGGGUAGCUAUGUACGGAAUGGAUAAGCGCUGAAAGCAUCUAAGCGCGAAGCCAACUUCAAGAUAAGAUUUCCCACCGCAAGGGUAAGACCCCAGAAAGACUAUCUGGUUGAUAGGUCGAAGGUGUAAGUGCAGCAAUGUAUUUAGCUUAUCGAUACUAAUAGGUCGAGGACUUGACCAAU